rnacentral:lncRNA from 1 species
AAAAAAAAAAACAUAUGGUAAUUUGUCAAUAAAUAGGUAAAAUAUUUCAGAUGACUGGGGUUGUUCAUUUAACCAAGAUUCUAAAGUUGUGAAAGGGCUAUAUUACGAGAGGAUAACAGAUCAACCGUUUAUUUUCAAACUUGUGAAGCGUAGAACUGCGAUUUGCUAUUCAUCUGCAAUACGGUUCAUUUGUGCUGAAAUUGAAGGAGGCAGUAAAAUUGUUGUACCUGAGGAGUUACACCUCGAU